UGGGGAAUCGUCUAACGGCAGGACAUCGGAUUUUGAUUCCGAGUAUCCAGGUUCAAGUCCUGGUUCCCCAACCA
rnacentral:tRNA from 1 species